rnacentral:rRNA from 1 species
AACGAACGCUGGCGGCAGGCCUAACACAUGCAAGUCGAACGCCGUAGCAAUACGGAGUGGCAGACGGGUGAGUAACGCGUGGGAAUAUCCCCCUCAGUACGGAAUAGCCCAGGGAAACUUGGAGUAAUACCGUAUACGUCCGCGAGGAGAAAGAUUCAUCGCUGAGGGAUUAGCCCGCGUAGGAUUAGCUAGUUGGUGAGGUAACGGCUCACCAAGGCGACGAUCCUUAGCUGGUCUGAGAGGACGAUCAGCCACACUGGGACUGAGACACGGCCCAGACUCCUACGGGAGGCAGCAGUGGGGAAUAUUGGACAAUGGGCGCAAGCCUGAUCCAGCCAUGCCGCGUGAGUGAUGAAGGCCUUAGGGUUGUAAAGCUCUUUUGGCGGGGACGAUAAUGACGGUACCCGCAGAAUAAGCCCCGGCUAACUUCGUGCCAGCAGCCGCGGUAAGGCACG